AGAGUUUGAUCCUGGCUCAGGACGAACGCUGGCGGCGUGCUUAACACAUGCAAGUCGAACGAUGAAGCCCAGCUUGCUGGGUGGAAGAGUGGCGAACGGGUGAGUAACACGUGAGCAACCUGCCCUUCACUCUGGGAUAAGCACUGGAAACGGUGUCUAAUACUGGAUAUGCACAAUGGCCGCAUGGUCUGUUGUGGGAAAGAUUUAUCGGUGAAGGAUGGGCUCGCGGCCUAUCAGCUUGUUGGUGAGGUAGUGGCUCACCAAGGCGACGACGGGUAGCCGGCCUGAGAGGGUGACCGGCCACACUGGGACUGAGACACGGCCCAGACUCCUACGGGAGGCAGCAGUGGGGAAUAUUGCACAAUGGGCGCAAGCCUGAUGCAGCAACGCCGCGUGAGGGAUGACGGCCUUCGGGUUGUAAACCUCUUUUAGUAGGGAAGAAGCGCAAGUGACGGUACCUGCAGAAAAAGCACCGGCUAACUACGUGCCAGCAGCCGCGGUAAUA
rnacentral:rRNA from 1 species